rnacentral:lncRNA from 1 species
CACCACUCAUUAUCCCAAAAAUUGAUCAUAUAUAUAUAUAUAAUUGAGCUCCUAUACUUUUGAAAGUACCAAGACAUUGGUGCUUGUAAGUUUUUAGCCUUUAGAUUAAAAAAUAUGUGGUUAGGAUGAUGUGGAUCCCCUAGGGUUGAGUGGGUGGUUGGUUGAAUAAUAUAAUCUAACGGGUGUAAAUGAUCAACAGUGCUGAUCUAACGGUUAAAAACCUAUAAGCACAAAGUGAUUGGUGCUUGUAAAGCUUUUACAAGCACCAUAGCCGAACUCUAUAUAUAUAUAUAUAUAUAUAUAUAUAUAUAUAUAUAUAUAUAUAUAUAUAUAUACACAUGCUAAGGUUCAAAUUACACACUUCUAAGUUUUAUACUUCUUAUAUUAAUUAAAGGCUAAAUUACAUAAAAUCUUUCUGUCAAAAUUCGAUUUUUUACUUUCCCCCAUGUCAUUUAAAACCUACAGUUUGUUCUCUUGUAAAAUAAAAAAUGUUCACAAGGAGGUACAGUAAGAAAUGUGAUGACAAAAUAAUCAAUUUGCCUCUCACCAUUUUCAUCUCCUCCCUCAUCUUGCUCAUCCGCCGCCUCGAUCGGCCACGGUUCGCGCCUCAAUUGGCAAGGAUUCCUCUCCAUUUUCUUCUCCACCUUCUCCCUUUCUCCUCCUGCACCCUCGGCGCCUCUCCAUUUUGAUGACAGUAGUGAGGAAAUCGAAAUAAGCGUGGAUGAAAAGGUAGGCAAAGGUAACAAGGAUGAAGGCAAGACGGCGGAGAAGGGCGAGAGGGUGUUUGUGGGCGCGGACGGAGACGUGGGCGAGGGCGAGGCAGUGAAGGAGGGCUAGGCGGCGAGGCGGAUGAGGGCGAAACACAGUAGAGGGCGGAGGGUAUUUUUGGCAUAAAAAAUAUUUUAUAACGGAACCCUAAUGGUCACUGACGGUAGGGGGUGAAGUGAACGUUUUUUAUUUUACAAGGGGCAAAGUAUAGGUUUUUAAAUAACAUGGAGGGAAAGUGAAAAAUCGGAUUUUGACGGAUGGGUUUUCUGUAAUUUAGCCUAAAUUAAAAUCUAAUGUUUUAGAAUAAAGAUCUAAAUGUUGAAAUUAUUG